rnacentral:ncRNA from 3 species
UAUUUCGCAGCGACCGUUGGUUUCUGCCUCAACUCAUCAGCAGUAGUAGCAGAAUUAAAAGGGAACCCCGUUAAAAUCGGGGGCUGUCCCCGCAACUGUAAGCCUACAAAGGCCUCUAUCAAAUAGUCACUGUUCCGAUAAACCGGGGUGGGAAGGCGAUAGACGGGCCAGGCGAGCCAGGAGACCUGCCAUAGUCAAACAAUUCAAA